GACCUCAAAGCACAUACGCCAAGCAAGGGCUCUGCCCCUGGACCGCAUCGCUGGGGACUGUUGUAGACAGCUGUUAAUAGUCACCCGCUGUCCAUGCAGCUGAUAUUCUGGUUUAAGAACCAGAACUACUGAGCUGAGCACCAGGAACCACGUCUCCUACUACCAGAGUCUUGUACGCAUUCCUCAUGAAGCUGCUUUUUCUGAUUACAACAUCUCACUGGGCCUCUUUGCAGUUUUCUGAGUCAUAAAACCAUUGAUUCUUCUAAAUGAUCCACGAAGGAACUUCUGGUCUUGAUUUGCUUUCUCAUGUGAGUAGCAGCACCCAGAUGCUGCCGUUUGUACGAUCAAGAAGCAAAUGUGCCUAUGGGAGGGGCACUGGGCGAGGCACUGGAAGACCCAGCUUCCCGUCUGGAUCAGCCACUUGCUGGACAACAGAGGCCUCACCUGGCUUUUGGCCUCCCUCUUCCCACGAUCACAUGAACAGCAGGUCUGUUCAGAGUUGCUCCUGAAUGCGAAAGCCAGCAAAGGCCAAGAGGCCACACUGAAGCCCCUGAGAAUCUCUGCAGAGCCGGGUCCCUACGAAGCCAGUUGUUUGCAGCAGUGGGGUGUUGGGAAGGCUCCGGACUCCACGGGAGGAGAAACGUUUCUGUGCAGUAAAGAAGGCGAUGAAAGGUAAGGGGAUACUAACAAUAAAUCCAGGGCUCAGUUCAGUGGUGUGUUUGUGUUCGCCUUCAGUCCAGGGCCGCCCUGGCCUUUUCCAGCCCAGGUCUGUCCCGGUCUGUCCACUUGCUCUGCACAAAGCCACCUGUGUUUUGGUGUUACAAGGGUCUCCCUGAUUCUGUGCUCCGGGAGAUGCUCUGCCCCUUCUGCCUCCCGAGGCCAUUGUGGAAGAACAUCAAGGAGCACAGACAAAGCGAGGACCCCAGUGUGGGACGCAGGCUGGCUGACACACGCCAGCAGAGGUGUCGGCACGCUGGAGGACCCGAGGGAGGGGACCCCGAACUCCAGGAGCAGCUGGUCCUUCCUCAGCAGUGCCCCUGCGGUGCUCAGAAGAGCCCCAGUGAGAACCUGCUUGUCCUGGAGGAGAGGGAAUUGAAAAGACACCUCACCCCGAGGACUCCCGGCUUGUGGUGGAAAAUUCUCUCUGAAACCGGAAGCAGCUAUAGAAUCAGCAGCAGAGCCUCCAGAAGCACCGAGUCCAGUGGUUACCAGAUGAAGCUCCCAUCUUGUACUACAUCUUGAAAGCACAGGUGUGCUGCCCCAGAACUUCAGGAAGUAGUGCAGAUGUUUCUUUGUCAUUAGCAUCACCCUGGUAACAUAAUUAGCAUGUACAGUUAAAGGUGAAGAGUAAUCUUGAAGACAUCAAAUAGUCCUUUUCACAGUGGGAGGCAAGCGGUCGGCUAGGUGGUUCAGAAAAGACUGCCGAACCACUCUGCAUGUUUGAGCUAAUGAGGAGGUCAGGGGUCCGGCAUCAGAAGCAGUUGGUGACGCCACGGAAUGUGACUAUAGACUGUACCCUGUUCACUGCUGCUCUCUCGCAAAGGACACAAAGUUUGCCAAUGUGAUAUCCAAAUGCAACAUGCUAAAAUGAUGAUCACUUAUGUGAAAGCUUGCUCAUAAAUACUACUACACAAAUAUUUAUUGCAGCUUGGAUCAUAAUAACCUUUGCUUUUGUUGCAUUGUGCUUUGUUUGGGAUUUGUUGGCUUCAUUUAAAAAUAAUAAUAAUUCAUUCUUGGCAGGAGCGUGAAUCUGAGGGUUUUGGCAAAUGCAAAGAGUCACUAAAGUACCACCACAGUCAUGACCUGGAGUGGUUUCAUCCCCUCUCUUGACCCUAGUCUUCCUCGGUCACCUUUAUGUUCUGCCUCUUCUUUGGUUCCCAAGGCCAGCUAGCCGCUGAUCAGCCUCCUGGGUUUUCCAGUGUGCUCUACCGAGGGACCCGUAUGGCACAUGUGCUUUGCCUUUCAGUGUACAGGGCGGUGUGACCUCUCCGCUGAAGGUAUCGGUGGUUUGCUCUUUCUCGCUGCUGAGCGGUGACCCCUGGGCAUUGCCACAGCUUGGUGAAGUUCACUCAGUUGUGUUCCAUUUGGGGCUGGGAUGAUAAAGCUGUGAUGAGCACCAGUGAAAGAUUGUAUGCGAAUGUAAGGUUUCAUGUCACUUACUUAAAUAUAUAGGAGUAGGUUUGCUGGUACGUGUUUGCAACUUUAUACGAAACUACCAAAAUGCACUGUUUUGCCUCCUUACCAGGAAUGUAUAGGAAUUCUAUUUGCUCCACAUGCUGUAUUUAGUAUAAAAUUUUAAAUAGUUAUCACUCUAAAGGGCACGUAAUGGUCCCUGUGUUUUAUUUUGUUUUCUCAAUGAUUGGUGAGGUAAAGCAUCUUUUCACUUACUUACUUGCUGUCUGUAUAUCUUCUGUUGUAAAAUAUCUGUCCAG
ensembl:lincRNA